AGAGUUUGAUCCUGGCUCAGGACGAACGCUGGCGGCGUGCUUAACACAUGCAAGUCAAGGAGAACGGGAAUCUUCGGAAUCCCUAGUAAACUGGCGAACGGGUGAGUAACACGUAGGCAAUCUGCCUUCAGGACAGGGAUAACCUUGCUAACGCGGGGCUAAUACCUGAUGAUAUUUUUGUGUCGCAUGGCAUGAGAAUCAAAGUUGUCUCGACUUGUCGAGUUAAUACCUGGAGAUGAACCUGCGUCCCAUUAGCUAGUUGGUAGAGUAAUAGCCUACCAAGGCAACGAUGGGUAGCCGGCCUAAGAGGGUGUCCGGCCACACUGGGACUGAGAUACGGCCCAGACUCCUACGGGAGGCAGCAGUGAGGAAUAUUGCGCAAUGGGCGAAAGCCUGACGCAGCAACGCCGCGUGGAUGAUGAAGCUCUAAGGAGUGUAAAGUCCUGUUAGGAGGGAAGAAUGAUGCCGAUGUGAAUAAUAUCUGCAUUUGACGGUACCUCCAGAGAAAGCCCCGGCUAACUCCGUGCCAGCAGCCGCGGUAAUACGGGGGGGGCGAGCGUUGUCCGGAAUCAUUGGGCGUAAAGGGCGCGUAGGUGGAGUAGUAAGUUAGAGGUGAAAACUAUGGGCUUAACUCAUAGCCUGCCUCUAAAACUGCUAUUCUUGAGUAUGGAAGAGGAAAGUGGAAUUCCUGGUGUAGCGGUGAAAUGCGUAGAUAUCAGGAAGAACACCGGUAGCGAAGGCGACUUUCUGGUCCAUAACUGACACUGAGGCGCGAAAGCGUGGGGAGCAAACAGGAUUAGAUACCCUGGUAGUCCAUGCUGUAAACGAUGGGCACUAGGUGUUGGUCCCGUUCCAACGGGAUCAGUGCCGCAGCUAACGCAUUAAGUGCCCCGCCUGGGGAGUACGAUCGCAAGGUUGAAACUCAAAGGAAUUGACGG
rnacentral:rRNA from 1 species